rnacentral:rRNA from 1 species
GACGAACGCUGGCGGCGUGCUUAACACAUGCAAGUCGAACGGAAAGGUCCUUCUUGUUAGGGAUGCUCGAGUGGCGAACGGGUGAGUAAUACGUGAUUAACCUUCCCUUUACUUUUGGAUAACUUCAAGAAACUUGGACUAAUACCGGAAUAGAACUCCUGCUUCAUGGUGGUGUUUGGAAAGUUUCGGCGGUUGGGGAUGGACUCGCGGGUUAGCAGAUUGCUGGUGUGGUAGUUGCCUACCAAGGCUUUGAAGGGUAGCUGGCCUGAGAGGGUGACCGGGCACAUUGGGACUGAGAUACGGCACGGAGUACUACGGAAGGUAGCAGUGGGGAAUAAUGCACAAUGGGCGGAAGCCUGAUGCAGGAACGCCGCGUUAUGGAUUACGGACUGCGGGUUGUAAACAGCAUUAGCGUGUGCCGAAGCGUGAGUGACGGUAAUGGGUAAAGAAGCACCGGCUAACUACGUG